rnacentral:rRNA from 1 species
UACGUAGGGGGCAAGCGUUGUCCGGAUUUAUUGGGCGUAAAGAGCGUGUAGGCGGUUCGGUAGGUCCGUUGUGAAAACUCGAGGCUCAACCUCGAGACGCCGGUGGAAACCAUCAGGCUAGAGUCCGGAAGAGGAGAGUGGAAUUCCUGGUGUAGCGGUGAAAUGCGCAGAUAUCAGGAAGAACACCCGUGGCUAAGGCGGCUCUCUAGUACGGUACUGACGCUGAGACGCGAAAGCGUGGGGAGCGAACAGG